GAUGGAGACAGCUCAGGAAACAGAAUUGGAAAGAGUCAGAAGGACAAAAGAAGUUGACAACAAAAGUGAAUCCUGAAUUCAGUUUCAUGGAUUAUGAAGACUGUUACUGCAUUCUCCAGGGACAUGUUGAUGAGUCCACUGUCAGUGAACAUAGAUUUUUAUCAUCUCACAGACAUGAGUUAAUUUGGCCAUAAUAUGACUCUACUUCUGGUUCUGAUUGUGAGAAGCUACUUAGGAAGGAAGGGUAUUCAUGGAACACAUCUGAAUACUGACCGCAGACCAGCAGCCUUCCAGAAGACACUCUUAGUGAUGACAACUUCUUUCCAGGUGUCUU